UGAUUCUGGCUCAGGACGAACGCUGGCGGUGUGCUUCACACAUGCAAGUCGAACGGGGUAGCAAUACCCAGUGGCGGACGGGUGAGUAACGCGUAAAAAUCUGCCUUGAGAUGGGGGAUAACAGUCCGAAAGGAUUGCUAAUACCGCAUAUGUAUGUACCCGGACACGGGUGUAUAUGAAAGGAGUAAUCCGUCUUAAGAUGAGUCUGCGUCCGAUUAGCUAGUUGGUAGGGUAAAGGCCUACCAAGGCGACGAUCGGUAGCUGGUCUGAGAGGAUGAUCAGCCACAAUGGGACUGAGACACGGCCCAUACUCCUACGGGAGGCAGCAGUGGGGAAUUUUGUGCAAUGGGGGAAACCCUGACACAGCGACACCGCGUGAACGAAGAAGCCCUUUGGGGUGUAAAGUUCUGUCGGCUGGAACGAAAAAAAUGACGGUACCAGCAAAGGAAGCAUCGGCUAACUACGUGCCAGCAGCCGCGGUAAGACGUACGAUGCAAGCGUUGUCCGGAUUUAUUGGGCGUAAAGAGUUCGUAGGCGGUUCGUUAAGUCUGAUGUUAAAGACUGGGGCUCAACCCCGGGAGUGCAUUGGAUACUGGCGGACUGGAGUGUGGUAGAGGCUAGUGGAAUUCCCAGUGUAGCGGUGAAAUGCGUAGAUAUUGGGAAGAACACCAGUGGCGUAGCGACUAGCUGGGCCAUAACUGACGCUCAUGAACGAAAGCCACGGGAGCGAAUGGGAUUAGAUACCCCAGUAGUCCUGGCCGUAAACGAUGGAUACUAGGCGUAGUGGGUAUCGACCCCUACUGUGCCGCAACUAACGCGAUAAGUAUCCCGCCUGAGUAGUACGCCGCAAGGUUGAAACUCAAGGAAUUGACGG
rnacentral:rRNA from 1 species